rnacentral:rRNA from 1 species
AUUGAACGCUGGCGGCAGGCCUAACACAUGCAAGUCGAACGGUAACAGGAAGAAGCUUGCUUCUUUGCUGACGAGUGGCGGACGGGUGGGUAAUGUCUGGGAAACUGCCUGAUGGAGGGGGAUAACUACUGGAAACGGUAGCUAAUACCGCAUAACGUCGCAAGACCAAAGAGGGGGACCUUCGGGCCGCUUGCCAUCGGAUGUGCCCAGAUGGGAUUAGCUAGUAGGUGGGGUAACGGCUCACCUAGGCGACGAUCCCUAGCUGGUCUGAGAGGAUGACCAGCCACACUGGAACUGAGACACGGUCCAGACUCCUACGGGAGGCAGCAGUGGGGAAUAUUGCACAAUGGGCGCAAGCCUGAUGCAGCCAUGCCGCGUGUAUGAAGAAGGCCUUCGGGUUGUAAAGUACUUUCAGCGGGGAGGAAGGGAGUAAAGUUAAUACCUUUGCUCAUUGACGUUACCCGCAGAAGAAGCACCGGCUAACUCCGUG